CCUGGGGUGAUCCUCCUGUUAAAAUUAGAAUUGGGUUAUUCGGUGUCGAUUAAAAUUAGAAUUUUCUUUGAUUAGAAUUAGAAUUCUAAAAUUAAAAUUAGAAUUAUUUGAUUCAAUUUCAGUUUUUCUGUUAUUGGGUUUUGUGAAUUUUCUUUUUGUUUCAGUGGCUUCAAGGUUCUGAUAAUUGAUCUUUUUUUGUCUGAUGCUGCUCUCCCAGUUCUCAAUCCUCGAUUUUUGCAUCUCGAACUUUGCUCGCAAGGUGGAUGAAGACUACAAGCGAAUGGUAAUAUUAACUACCUUUUUACAAGUCUACAUUUCUUCAGGCUUAAGUUUUUCUUAUCUCUCUAAUGAUUUUGUAUUUAUUGUUGUAUAAACUAAACGUGCACUUCUUUGAUUGAUGAGUGUUGAAAGAGGGACAAUCUUGAGUGAGCAACAAUCUCGAGGGCAGAAUUUACACUAUUUUUGGUUUUGUCAUUGACAAACUUUGAAAAUGAUUGACGUUGUAUAAAGUUGAAGAUUAUGGCAGAUUGACGUUGUAGAAAUUUAUAUAGAUUUGGUUUGGUUUGAGAGGUAAA